CAGUAGCCGCGGUAAUACGUAGGUGGCAAGCGUUGUCCGGAAUUAUUGGGCGUAAAGGGCUCGCAGGCGGCUUCUUAAGUCUGAUGUGAAAGCCCCCGGCUCAACCGGGGAGGGUCAUUGGAAACUGGGAAACUUGAGUGCAGAAGAGGAGAGUGGAAUUCCACGUGUAGCGGUGAAAUGCGUAGAGAUGUGGAGGAACACCAGUGGCGAAGGCGACUCUCUGGUCUGUAACUGACGCUGAGGAGCGAAAGCGUGGGGAGCGAACAGGAUUAGAUACCCCAGUAGUCCCUGUCUCUUAUAC
rnacentral:rRNA from 1 species